rnacentral:rRNA from 1 species
AGGCCUUGACAUGCAGAGACUUUCCAGAGAUGGAUUGGUGCCUUCGGGAACUCUGACACAGGUGCUGCAUGGCUGUCGUCAGCUCGUGUCGUGAGAUGUUGGUUAAGUCCCGUAACGAGCGCAACCCUUGUCCUUAGUUUACCAGCACGUUAUGGUGGGCACUCUAAGGAGACUGCCGGUGACAAACCGGAGGAAGGUGGGGAGUGACGUCAAGUCAUCAUGGCCCUUACGGCCUGGGCUACACACGUGCUACAAUGGUCGGUACAAAGGGUUGCCAAGCCGCGAGGUGGAGCUAAUCCCAUAAACCGAUCGUAGUCCGGAUCGCAGUCUGCAACUCGACUGCGUGAAGUCGGAAUCGCUAGUAAUCGUGAAUCAGAAUGUCACGGUGAAUACGUUCCCGGGCCGUU